rnacentral:rRNA from 1 species
AGAGUUUGAUCCUGGCUCAGGACGAACGCUGGCGGCGCGCCUAACACAUGCAAGUCGAACGAGCGAGAGAGAGCUUGCUUUCUCGAGCGAGUGGCGAACGGGUGAGUAACGCGUGAGGAACCUGCCUCAAAGAGGGGGACAACAGUUGGAAACGACUGCUAAUACCGCAUAAGCCCACGGUGCCGCAUGGCACAGAGGGAAAAGGAGCAAUCCGCUUUGAGAUGGCCUCGCGUCCGAUUAGCUAGUUGGUGAGGUAAUGGCCCACCAAGGCAACGAUCGGUAGCCGGACUGAGAGGUUGAACGGCCACAUUGGGACUGAGACACGGCCCAGACUCCUACGGGAGGCAGCAGUGGGGAAUAUUGCACAAUGGGGGAAACCCUGAUGCAGCGACGCCGCGUGGAGGAAGAAGGUCUUCGGAUUGUAAACUCCUGUUGUUGGGGAAGAUAAUGACGGUACCCAACAAGGAAGUGACGGCUAACUACGUGCCAGCAGCCGCGGUAAAACGUAGGUCACAAGCGUUGUCCGGAAUUACUGGGUGUAAAGGGAGCGCAGGCGGGAAGACAAGUUGGAAGUGAAAUCUAUGGGCUCAACCCAUAAACUGCUUUCAAAACUGUUUUUCUUGAGUAGUGCAGAGGUAGGCGGAAUUCCCGGUGUAGCGGUGGAAUGCGUAGAUAUCGGGAGGAACACCAGUGGCGAAGGCGGCCUACUGGGCACCAACUGACGCUGAGGCUCGAAAGUGUGGGUAGCAAACAGGAUUAGAUACCCUGGUAGUCCACACCGUAAACGAUGAUUACUAGGUGUUGGAGGAUUGACCCCUUCAGUGCCGCAGUUAACACAAUAAGUAAUCCACCUGGGGAGUACGACCGCAAGGUUGAAACUCAAAGGAAUUGACGGGGGCCCGCACAAGCAGUGGAGUAUGUGGUUUAAUUCGACGCAACGCGAAGAACCUUACCAAGUCUUGACAUCCCUUGACAGACAUAGAAAUAUGUUUUCUCUUCGGAGCAAGGAGACAGGUGGUGCAUGGUUGUCGUCAGCUCGUGUCGUGAGAUGUUGGGUUAAGUCCCGCAACGAGCGCAACCCUUAUGGUCAGUUACUACGCAAGAGGACUCUGGCCAGACUGCCGUUGACAAAACGGAGGAAAGUGGGGAUGACGUCAAAUCAUCAUGCCCUUUAUGACUUGGGCUACACACGUACUACAAUGGCGUUAAACAAAGAGAAGCAAGACCGCGAGGUGGAGCAAAACUCAGAAACAACGUCCCAGUUCGGACUGCAGGCUGCAACUCGCCUGCACGAAGUCGGAAUUGCUAGUAAUCGUGGAUCAGCAUGCCACGGUGAAUACGUUCCCGGGCCUUGUACUCACCGCCCGUCA